rnacentral:tRNA from 1 species
GGUUGUGGCCCAGUGGUAGAACGCUCACCUGGCACGUGUGAGGCUCUGGGUACGAUCCUCAGUGCCA